ACGUAGGGAGCAAGCGUUGUCCGGAAUUACUGGGCGUAAAGGGUGCGUAGGUGGUCAUGUAAGUCAGAUGUGAAAGACCGGGGCUUAACCCCGGGGUUGCAUUUGAAACUGUGUGACUUGAGUACAGGAGAGGGAAGUGGAAUUCCUAGUGUAGCGGUGAAAUGCGUAGAUAUUAGGAGGAACACCAGUGGCGAAGGCGACUUUCUGGACUGUAACUGACACUGAGGCACGAAAGCGUGGGGAGCAAACAG
rnacentral:rRNA from 1 species